UACAGGGGGUGCAAACGUUGCUCGGAAUCAUUGGGCGUAAAGCGCACGUAGGCGGUUCGUUAUGUCGGAUGUGAAAGCCCUUGGCUUAGCCGAGGAAGUGCAUCCGAAACUGGCGAGCUAGAGUACUAAAGAGGAUCGCGGAAUUCCCGGUGUAGAGGUGAAAUUCGUAGAUAUCGGGAGGAACACCGGUGGCGAAGGCGGCGAUCUGGGUAGAUACUGACGCUGAGGUGCGAAAGCGUGGGGAGCAAACAGG
rnacentral:rRNA from 1 species